CUUUGUGUUUGUUCUUUGAGCAUUUUGUUGGGAGUUUCACUCCCAUUCUUGGCAUUUUGAGUAAGAGCUUUUUAGUCUAAACAUGUUACUCUUGUUUAGCUUCCGCUUCAGCCACUACCAUGUGGCACUCUCUUAACUCCACAUUAGGGCUUAGGGAUUUGUGUUUCACAAGUUUUUGUUAAACAAAUGCAAAACAGAGCAAAAUAGAAUUAAAAGCCAAGCCAAGUAUUUUAGUAAGAAACACAUAAAAGUUCCUACUUUAUAUUCAUUUGGCUAAGUAUAGAUGUUAAGCCCAGUUUACUAAGAGGGUCUAAAAAGGGAAUCAACAAUAACAAUCUUCUGUGAUUGUGGCAGUAAGGAAAGAAUAUCCAAAAUGACUAAUUGAUAAUAAGUGAUUUUGAACUUAAACUUCAAUCAUUAUAAGUGAAGUUUUAACCUCAUCCUUAAUAUAGAUUGAUUGCAACAAUUAUGUCAAAUAUGACUUUGAAGAUUAUCCCCUUUGUUUUAUAUUUUUUUAUUUGCUUAAGCAAACCUAUAGGAGACCGGGAUAGUAAUGGAUAUACCUAAAAUAUGCUUGAAUAUUCUAGGAUAUUCUACUAUCUAAUGGUUGUUAUUCAUUUAUAUAAAUCUUGUAUUUAUAAUUCAUAAACAUGUUUUAUAAUUUAUAAAAUUUCUUAAACCAUUUCUAGUAUAUUCUUUUUGAUUCUUUCAUUGGCAGCCCCGAGUAUCGAGGUGGACAAAACGCUUGGGGUGGUGCAGUGCUCCGGGAUAUGGUGGAGCUGCUGGUUCCGAUGGAUAUGGAGGCAAUGGGAGUAAAUAUGAGCGGAUAUGGGAACGCUGAAUGGGGUGGCUUUGGAGGUGGCGGACAGAGGAAUGCUGUGAUGAGUCCGGUGUAUAGCGGGAGCAGCUAUGGUUAUAGUAGUGAUGCGGGGUAUGGCAGUGCUGCCGCUGGCUAUGGUGGAUGAGGAUAUGGGAAUAACAGCGGAGGAUACGGUGGUGGUGGUGGUGGUGGUAAUGCAGGUAGCUAUGGCUCAAGUUAUGCAGAUGCAUACUCUGGUUAUCCGGACAACACCUGGAGAGCUGGGAGUGUAGAUGGAUAUAGCGGCAGUGGCGGGAGUGGCAGCGGUGGUGGUGGAAGCGGUGGCAGUGGUGGCGGUAGUGUUGGAUCGAAUUAUGGUGGAGGGAUGGGAAACAGUGGAGCAACAGGUGAUGGAACAGGGAAUGGAGGAGGCUAUGGUGUGAACUAUGGAGCAAGCAGUAGACUAUCCAGAGAGGAGGGAAUCCAGACGCUCGCUUUAAGCCAUAUCCUUCCACGGCUGAUCACAGUAGCUAGCUCUUUCCUCCGGAAGCUUAGAAAAGAGGAUCACAGUGACACUUCUAGCAGCGUUCCAUCCAGCAUUCCAUGGAGGUAAUGUAAGAGAGCAAAGCUUUUUACUCUUUUCUUUUUUUCUUUUGUCUUUUGGUUUUCCUCGUUUUUCUUUUUUCUUUUUUUGUUUUUCAUUGGUACUGAGGGGGCUAUAUUUAUUUAUUAUUUUUUUACCUUUCAUUGUGUGGCUUGGUAAUCCCGGACUGGGAUGAUAAAAGGAGAAUGGCUGGGUUGAGAAAGAGUAUACAUAGAAGAGGAGUGAUGGUUUAGCUUUUGUUUUGGAAGUUUUUCUUCAGCCAGCCUGCAGCACUAACACACUCGGUCUUGUUUGAAGAGGCUAGCUUUAUGUCGUCGGUGUUCUUUGCAGCGUCCGGGUAAUAUUAUCAUGGGAGAAAAAAAAAACUAUAUUCUUUGAUUUGCACAAAUUAAUCAAGACAAAUUUGUUCUACUAAAAAACUUCAGUUCCUAUCUUAAUCUUAACGAAGUUGUUGCAAAUCAUGCGCAAGUGGAGGAGCGCAUGGGGUUCCACUUGAUCUU
rnacentral:lncRNA from 1 species